UACAGAGGGGGCAAGCGUUGUUCGGAAUUACUGGGCGUAAAGGGCGCGUAGGCGGCCUUCUAAGUCGAACGUGAAAUCCCCGGGCUCAACCCGGGAACUGCGUCCGAUACUGGAAGGCUUGAAUCCGGGAGAGGGAUGCGGAAUUCCAGGUGUAGCGGUGAAAUGCGUAGAUAUCUGGAGGAACACCGGUGGCGAAGGCGGCAUCCUGGACCGGCAUUGACGCUGAUGAGCGAAAGCUAGGGGAGCAAACGGG
rnacentral:rRNA from 1 species